rfam:Salmo salar isolate Sally breed double haploid chromosome ssa07, whole genome shotgun sequence.
UGUAUUCACUACUGUAAGUUGCUCUGGAUAAGGGUGUCUGCUAAAUGACUAAAA